AAAAAUGAGGGUCUCACUUUGUUGCCCAGGCUGAUCUCGAACUCCUGGCCUGAAGUGAUCCUCCGGCUUUUGGCCUCCCAAACUGAUGGAAUUACCGUCUGGAACCACUGUGUUAAACUCUUAGAUUUGACUGCUACAAAUGUAUAAAUGUGGAACUCCAUGUAUCAGUGGGUUCUGCCCCACUUCUUACUCCCAGGAAUUCUCCGUCCCAGCCUGCUGUUCCUGUCCUGCACCAGGGAACAAACAUGUAUCCUGGAUGAAAAUAAACCAAGUCUAUUGAAAUUGCAACCCAAGACAUUCAGAAGAGACAAGGUUACAGUGAAUCUGGAAAGUUCGCACGUGUUUGGAUGUAUUGAUUGCCUUAACUGGCAGCCCUUUGCACUGCCAGCUUCUCCCUCAAUUACAUGAGGAACCACGAGGGGGCAAUGUCUUCCCGAGCAAUAAUAGGUGAGUGGUGGUCUUAGGACCCCGUGGUGGCCCAUGAUGCUAGCACUGUGUCUUUGGCCAUUCUUGCCUGUUAUGGAGCGUAGUCCACAGAAGGGCAUGGUCCUCUUGGAGCCUGGCAUGGGCCCAACAAAAAUGACAAUGUAGUCAAUAGUUCCACUCAGACUUCACUUGGGAGCAGGUGGACUACGUUGUGUGAUAUCAGGAUGCCUGGAGAACCUCUCCUAUCCCCACCCAGGGAAGCAUGGCUUAAUUCCAAAUAGAGAAUCUGGUUCCUUUGUCUUUAAGCCAA